CAGCCGCCACGGGAAUACGUGGGUGGCAAGCGUUGUCCGGAAUUAUUGGGCGUAAAGGGCUCGCAGGCGGUUUCUUAAGUCUGAUGUGAAAGCCCCCGGCUCAACCGGGGAGGGUCAUUGGAGACUGGGAAACUUGAGUGCAGAAGAGGAGAGUGGAAUUCCACGUGUAGCGGUGAAAUGCGUAGAGAUGUGGAGGAACACCAGUGGCGAAGGCGACUCUCUGGUCUGUAACUGACGCUGAGGAGCGAAAGCGUGGGGAGCGAACAGGAUUAGAUACCCCUGUAGUCCCUGUCUCUUAUAC
rnacentral:rRNA from 1 species